UACAGAGGUCCCAAGCGUUGUUCGGAAUUACUGGGCGUAAAGGGCUCGUAGGCGGCCAACUAAGUCAGACGUGAAAUCCCUCGGCUUAACCGGGGAACUGCGUCUGAUACUGGAUGGCUUGAGUUUGGGAGAGGGAUGCGGAAUUCCAGGUGUAGCGGUGAAAUGCGUAGAUAUCUGGAGGAACACCGGUGGCGAAGGCGGCAUCCUGGACCAACACUGACGCUGAGUGAGCGAAAGCCAGGGGAGCAAACGGG
rnacentral:rRNA from 1 species